UACAGUGCAGACACUUUUUUGCUCGCUAUGCUUGCUUCGCCUCUGUUUACAUUUUAUUAUUGUUGAUAAGCUUGUUUUACUUCUAAAAAAAUUAGAAGCAGCGACUCCUGGAUAAAUUUUAAAUCUGUACUUUUUUUUGGUAGAUAGUCAAUUGUUGCCAUAUUGCAAUAUUUUCUAAUACCCUCUCAUCAUUACGUGAGCGUGGCCUACUAAUUAGCACAAGCCUGCUAUUAGCAACAAGACCAGGAAUCAAGAUGCCUCUCUUUUCCACUGAGGACUAUCACGUACUGCUGCAAUGGAUGUCAAUCCUGGAAACGAAAAUACACUGUCUUGUUGUGUAUGUGGAUGUAAAUGGACAUUCGGCGAAUGAAACCAGAAAGCAAAAAGCAGAUUACCGAGGAAUCCGGAAGGCCUCCGUUGCGGGCUGCUUCAACCCCAAGUGAGCGGCCGUGGACGGUCGCUACAUCAAAGGGCAAGAAAAAAGGAUGCCAGUCGAUGCAAAACAUUGACAUCAGAGUUACAAAUAGAUUUGAUCCACUUUUACAAGACCCUGGCCAAGAAUGCUCAUCCCCCACCACCACUGAAAUGUAUGAAACUAAGUCAUACAAGAAAAAAAUGACACCCCAAACGUUAAUAGUUGGUGAUGGAGCUGUCAAGGAUCUGAAACGUUUUUGCAGUGAGAAGAACACCAAAAUACUGUGUUUUACCAAUGACAUGGUGUCUGAUAUCUCUAAAAAAAAAAAUCCUGCAGAUCACUAAUCAGCACUCAACUGUGAAAUCUGUCAUUAUGUAUGAGGGGGCCCUGGAUGUUCUCAAGCAGCAAUCAGAGAUAAGGCGACACGAGGUGCAGACGGAUUCAUCAGUGUCAUCCAAAUAAUCAGAGGAGCGAAUGAAAAAUGAGAUGAGCCAGCACGUUGAAUCUCCCACACCCCUCCCUGCCCCAUUGGAGCAAAGCCCAACGCAAAACUCAUGCUCUACUAGCCUGAAUGCUCUGGUCGUAACGGCUGAAGCCUUGUUGAACUCGAGGUGGUAUCAACAGCAGAGGACUGAAAGACAAUAAGCAGAGGGUGAGGUUGUUGAGAUCGAACAGAACAGUUGAAAUGAUGUCAUCAUGUGAAAUGGGGUCCUCGUCAUGUAGCUUGAUCUCCAAAACAUUCUGAGGAAACAUUGGCCAUUCUUAUUAUUCACAGUCUGCAGUCAUGAAAUCCUCUUCUGCUCUACACGUCAAGACAAUGAAAUAUAUGCAGCCUUUUUAAAAUGUACAAAUACACCAGACAUCAGAACAAGAUUUUAUAAUAAAACAGU